UUUUAAAGAGGGCUUCCCAUUCCCCACCUUCAGGGUUCAACAAAUUAGUACACCUAGUUUGAAUUCGGUGUCGGCUUUCAGACUGGUUCUGCACAACCCCCCCCCACCAACUCCUACACUUGCAAAGUCAUCUCAGGAACUAGCCUCUCCAUCAAUAAGUUGCUGGAGGUCAGUCAAGGGCAUUCUAAAAAAGUAGCCUAAAUACAGGUCCAAUAUGUCCAUUGAGCCAGGGCAGGUGAGCAGAAAAAAAUGUGCUUAGGACACUUUGCCACUUGGACAAGGUGAGCAACAGCAGAGCUCUCUACGCCACCUGUCUGCAGAGAUGGCUCCUUCCAGGCUCCAACCAGGCUUCCUGCUCCUCUGAAUCUUCCCUUCCAGCCCCGUCCAGUCCUCCUCUUCUGCACCUGGCAGCUUCUCAACCUUCUCGGGAGAAUCAGUGCAGAGUUCACUCAGCUCUUCCAGCAAGUCUUUCCAGACCUCUCCAGCCCAUCUCCCUCCACAGAACGCUUGUCCACAUCAAAUCCCGGGACUCGAGAUGGACAGGCUCAUCUUUCUUUUAAUGAUGUAUUGCCAUUCCUUCCUCCUUCCUUCCUGUUCCUUCCCUCAUUCCGAUUCAGCCAUUCAAUCCAACCCUGUUUUAAUGGUCCCAGCUGCUGACCUAGAGGCUAGGAAUGAUCGAGAACCAUCUUGGACUUCAAGGAGCUCAUCCAUUGAUACAAAUAACCACAGCCACCACGGCGACCACCCUGCCUGGCAUGCUGUGAACAUUAUCUGAUCAUACCCACCAACUGAAAUUUUCUCGUUUCCUUGUUUCUGUCUUUAUUCACUGUCUCCUCCGGUAGCCAUGAGGCUAAUAGUGGAGUAGAAUUGCUGGUUAUGGAGUCAAUUUUUUUUUAAAAACUGCCCCAAAGAUUUCCACAAUUGUUUGGAAGUUUUCCUAUUCCCCAUCAGCUGAGUAUGACCAUUUUCAUUGCUUCACCUUAUCUCUGGCAGUUAGUAAUGACAAGUUUCUUCAUGGUCCCCGUGUUAGUGGGUGUGAAGUAGAACCUUAAUCAUGGUGGUGAUUGUAAUUUCUUUGAUGACCAUUGGUGUUGAACACAGAUCCGUGAGCUUAUUCAAGCUCCAUUCAUGGAUCUCGUUUUGUGAAGUAGCUUUUCAAGACUUCUGCUCAUUGGGGGAGGGGGUGUUUUAUUUCUUUUAAUUAUUGAGUUGAAGGAAUCACACAUACGUACGGCAAAGUCCUUGGUCACAUAUAUGUCAGAUAUACAUAUCCAUCUUUUCGCAGCAGGAGUUUUGCCUUUUCUUUUUCUUAAUAUUUUUUUUUUAUUUUUAAGUUUAAUAAAAUCCAAUUAAUCAGC